rnacentral:rRNA from 1 species
UGAGCAAUCUGCCCUUCUCUUCGGAAUAAGCGUUGGAAACGACGUCUAAUGCCGAAUACGACCUCCUUUCGCAUGAUCGGAGGUGGAAAGCUCCGGCGGAGAAGGAUGAGCUCGCGGCCUAUCAGCUAGUUGGUGUGGGUAAUGGCCCACCAAGGCGACGACGGGUAGCCGGCCUGAGAGGGUGACCGGCCACACUGGGACUGAGACACGGCCCAGACUCCUACGGGAGGCAG